GACGUAGGGGGCGAGCGUUGUCCGGAUUUAUUGGGCGUAAAGCGUGCGUAGGCGGCUGCGCAAGUCGGUUGUGAAACCCCGGGGCUCAACCCCGGAACCGCAUCCGAUACUGCGUGGCUAGAGGUAGGUAGGGGAGAUCGGAAUUCCUGGUGUAGCGGUGAAAUGCGCAGAUAUCAGGAGGAACACCGGUGGCGAAGGCGGAUCUCUGGGCCUUACCUGACGCUCAGGCACGAAAGCUAGGGGAGCGAACAGG
rnacentral:rRNA from 1 species